rnacentral:rRNA from 1 species
GAUUAACGCUGGCGGUGUGCUUUAUGCAUGCAAGUCGAACGGGCCACUUCGGUGGCUAGUGGCGAACGGGUGAGUAACACGUAAGUAACCUGCCCUCAAGUGGGGAACAACUCUGAGAAAUCGGAGCUAAUACCGCAUGUGGUGAUGGGGGUAAAGCCCCAUCACUAAAGCCUUCGGGCGCUCGAGGAGGGGCUUGCGUUCGAUUAGCUAGUUGGUGAGGUAACGGCCCACCAAGGCGACGAUCGAUAGCUGGUUUGAGAGGACGACCAGCCACACUGGGACUGAGACACGGCCCAGACACCUACGGGUGGCAG